CUGCGUUCGUGUUUGCGUAUGUGUGUGUGUGUGUGUAAAAUAGAAGCGGCUAUUUCAGGCGUUUCUGAACUUUGUCUUUUCCUGCGGUUGCCUUCAUCUUGCACUUUUUUCCCCUCUGCUCUUGUGCCUGUUUCUGGCAGGAGGCGAUCCGAUCGUUGGCUGCUGGCGCAGCGCAGAGCCCCACACACUUCUCCAGGCGUAAGAGCCACACAGCCGGAUUUUCUCUCUCCUCAAAAACAGAGACUUUCUCCUUGACCAGAUCCCUCAACAAAAGAAAAACCAAAGAGCAAGAGCAGACGGUGCUCAGGAAAGCGAAGCGGAACCGCCCCGCCCCCGCCCCCGCCAAACGGAGCGACAGUCGGCGGCUUUGAAAAGAGAACACAGGAACGAGGCAGCAGAGGUAAGCGUGACGUCGGUAUAGCUCGUGCUCGUCGCCUGCGCUUGGGCUUCACCUCGCCCCCUUUUCCUCGUUACGCGUCCACGGCUUCGGCUCUCGCGCCAACCGCUUUAUUUACCCUUUUCUCUAAGCCCAUCUCCUCUUGGUGCGGCGAUACUUUUUCUUUUUGUUGUUCAUGGGUGCUUGUUAGAAGCGCUCACUUCGUACGCACGAGUUCCCUCUCCUCCUGCUUCUGUUUGAGAAGCUUGGUCGUCUUCUCUUCAUCCUCACAAAAACCCCCCUCCACAACCAGGCAUCUAUCUUUUCAGCCCCCCUCCCCCUUUUCUUCCUUCUCUCCGUUACUACCCAGCGCUGUCCUACGCUUCUACACAUCCGCGAAUUGCCGCACUCGCGCACACACACACAGUGAGAAGGAACACACUCUCACCGCUGGUUCCUCGGACUCUUUUUUUUUCGUGUUCUUCGUCUGCCUCGCCCCUCAAGGGUGCGUUCCUGUGUAGGCUUCCUCAUCUGCUUUGACGACUUGCAUAGUGCUUCUCCUGGCAUUUGCUGUAUUUUACCGAACACAGUUGCUUGAGUAUUCUAGAGGUGUGCGUCCGUGUUGUAGGCUGUCUUCGUGCGUGCGGGCAACUCAAGCAGUAGAACUUUCACUGUUUCUGCACUCAUAUAUAUAUAUAUCUUGUAUGUUUAUCUCUCUCACUCACCUCAGCAUCACGCUGCUGCUGUGACCGAUUUAAUUGUCGUUUUUUACUUUCCCCUUCUGGCAUUCUCUUAUCUUUUUUUUUUCGUGCUGUUGCCGCGGCUCCCUUCUCCGCGGCUGAGCUGCAGCUGCUGCACCCUGUCUCUUGCUCACCUUUUCACCCCAUCCCCUUUUUUUGGUGUGUUCUCCUUGUUGCGUGAGUGCUUUUCUCUCUCCUUGGGCUUCAUCAACGUUGCCUUCCGUGCUGCACAACGUCGUCCAUUCUGGAAGGCAACCGCUCGGCUACUUUUUUCUUGACUUGCCUGCAGGUGCUGUGACUUGUUGGAGAGCGUCUCUGACAGGGAACAAGAGCGGUCGGUGAUGUGAGCGCGUGCCGUGUGUGUCAGUCGACCCCCCCCCCAACCUCCUCUGAUUCUCUUAUAUAUAUGUAUAUCUUCCACCUCAAUUCGUUGCCUUACCAAAGCUGUGGUGUUCGUCCGUUUCGGGGCCGUGCGCGCCUUUUUUCUCAGCCCCGCCCCGAGUACACGACCACAUUGUGUGUGUGUCUGUGUGUGUCGGCUGCUCCAUCCGCACACACGUACGCCUAUGUCUGUUCACCGCAAUCAGCACGACGGCGCUUGCUCUCUCCUCCUCCCCACCCCUCCGCCCACCGAACCUCUUCCUAUGAGCGGCUGCAGGAAAGUGCAGUGCUGCAGAGGCAGCUGGAAGCAGGCGUUCUGCAGCCUGCCUGGCAAGACUACUGCCGGCGUGACGUACCUUCGUGCUCUCGCAGCUGUCUUAGCCUGCUUCUCGACCGUGUCGGCGAUGCUGUACAUCUGUAUUCUCGGCCUGGAUGAUGUGUACUCGGUGCAGAACAGCCAAAACGUUUACUACUCGAAUGAAUCCCUCGCCGUGGCAAGCGACGCGCUUGGGGGGACAGCGAACACUGCCGAGAGUCCAACAUUGUUGUUUCCGCAGCUACGCGCCACCGUCGGCCUCCACACCGUGUGCGUCGGUUUCAAUUGCUUCCUGCGUUCUCGUCUCACUGGCGUCUCGGCCCUUGUGGCGAGUGCGGCUCAGGGAACCACAGGGCGCCGUCUACCCAGAGAACUCGCCGCCGCAUACGAGGAGGCCACAUACCAGUACAUCUUUGGCUUCGACAUAGGUGCGCACUGCGGGACGCCAUGGAGCAAGACACAGUCUCUUAGCACCUUCGGCGUGGCGGCAUUGACGUUGUCGCUUGUAUUGUCGCUCGCACUGUUUGCCGUCAGCAUGGGUCUCUGCUUCGUGGUCGGCAAAACGGACUUCCUGGCCAGCAACACGACAGCCGACGGGGACUUUCAUCUCACCAACCUCAACGCGCUGGACGUGCCUGCACCGUAUGGGAUGCGCCAAAUCGAUAGACAUCUGCGAAUGAAAACGCCGCUGCUCCUGAGCGCGGGGAUACUUAGUUUAUUCGCCUUUUUCACGAGCGUUUGCACGAUGGGUGUCGCCGUCGCAUUGAACCGGAGCAAGUCAAAAUGUGGGCAGUCUGUGUGCGGGGCGUUUAAGCAGGGCAUGGAGCGCUUCUACGAGCUGGCGGACUCCCUCCACGUGAACGUCUCCAUACCUCGCACCUACUCGUGCGAACCAGGCAGCUCCUACAUCCUGGUUUUCGUUACUUUCUGUAGCUCUGCUGUAUGCCUUACAAUGGGCUCUGCGAUAUUCUUCUGCUACCGUCACUCUCGGCACCACGAACAGAUGCUGGAGAUGCGCGAUCAGCUGCGGCGGAUAACGGAGGUGCAGGGUCUCGCAGGUGGCAGGAGUGUUGCCCGUGCGGAAUCGCGGCGAGGGACAGCGUUGGCGAAUACCUCUUCGUUGAUCGUUUCAGUGAGUAGCCCUUCCCAGGCGUAUUCGGACAUGCAUCACAGUGACUUCUUCGCCGACGGUGGACUAGCGCGGCGUCGCCACUUUGGGAGUCCUGCCGAGGAUGCGCAACGGCGCCCUCGCAGCGUUGGCGCCGGCAUCGAGCGAUAUCGACUUCUCAAGCAGUUCAUGGCGGCGGAGGAGCACAGCCGGGGGUGUAUCAAAGCGACGGAAAGUGUCCACUUUCAAGUAUUCCUGGCGCUGUGCGAGACUGUGUGGCUCGCCGAAAGACUUUGCAGACUCCACAUGCUUACACUCAACUGUUUUGUCGGCCCGGCUUUGGAGAUAUGCGUGCUGGAAACGCAGUGCCGGCAGCAGCUCAUUCGGGAGUACCACGCCGGUGUUACUGAGGUCCUCGCCAGCUUAAGGGAGGAUGCGGGAGUAGUCCCGUCACAACCCCGUCAACCGCGAGUAAAGGGCGCGGUUCUACAAGAACAGGAGAGGGCAGUGUGGGACGAGCGUGUGCGACGGUGGCAGCAGGUGAGGGCGGAAAUGAGUCGUAGCUUUCAGCGCACCGCCUCGCACGCAGCUGCGGAGGCGCGACUGCGGCGAAGGCCGUCUUCCCCGGCUCAUUCACGGACAGCCUCGUGCGCGGGGCCCAAUAUGAAUGAGUGGCUCGAGAAGCUCGAGGAGCUAGAUGCCACCUCUGUCGACAAGCUUUUCUUGGCAGGCUCACUUGCGGAGCCUCCGCCCAGAAGGAAUGGGCAGCAUAAGGAGGCAGGCACGAGCACCAGUUUCUCCAGCCCUACCCGUUCCAGGGCGGGCUUGCCGUUCUCCGGCGGCGAUACCUUCGCUGCCUGUGAUGCAGCGCGGUCGAACGUGUGCACCGACGGCGUAUCAGCUACUGGAUCCGCUGAAGCGUACGAUCCUCCGUACGAACAGCAGGGGCGGCUGCAUGAAGGCCCCUCUGAACGACCACAUAAGGUUCCUCAACAGUCAGACGUGAGGGACGCGAGGCUGGAGUGCAGCGGGAGCGCCUGUGCCAAGGUCGCACAAAAAGGGAAGGAAAACAGGUAUCUCGAACUCUUGACGAGGACUUCUGCAAGAUCCACGUACUCUCUCCGCGGCAGCGUCUCCCUUCCCCCUUCAUCAACACACGUGGCCAGCGAGUCGCAGUCGCUGCGGCCGGCGGUGAGUACGUCGAAGUCCAACAGCCAAGUCGAUCCCAUCAAUGCCGCUGGCGAUGGCGUAAGGCUGCAAGCCGUCUCGCAUUGCACCGACAACGCUUCAGCUGCUGCGGAGUGGCAUAAGGUGUUUCAAGGUGCUUCUGAGAAAGAGCCUGAGAAGGGCACAAUCCUCGAUUGCAAUAGGUUACGCAGCUGGACAGGGCCCACCUUUUCAUCGGCGUCAACAAAGCAAGCAGACACGACUGUUUCGUGUGCGACUCCAGCGGCAGCAGCUCCAUUGACUGGCCCGUGGCGUAAGCGCAGGGACGUGCAGAACCUGCUGUAGGCGGCGGUGCUACACAGACAAGCUUUACCUGGUGUCUCUCGCAUGUCUGGGUCUGCCCUUUCUCCUCGCAUCCUUAUUUUCAUUUUGCUUCUUACUCUUCCUGAACAGAUGGCGCCAUGGUUGCCGCUUCCGCCGGGGUUUCCGACUGGUCUCGUGUGCCUCCGUUGAAUUGCCUCGUUUUGUUUCUCUGUACCGCCUCAUGGGACACUUCGAACCACACAAACGAGAACAGCAACAAAAAAGAGCUUUUUUCUUUUCUGUUUUUUUUUUAUUGUUCGUCAUCCUACGAAUCACAGGUGCUUUCUGUGCCGCUUUCUGUCUGUUUCUUUCUUUUCCCUCUCCCUCCCCACUUGUUUCCUGCGCCUUCACCUUUUGGCCGCUUGUGUAUCUGCCCGCCUCUACGCAUCUACACGCACACACAGACCUUCUAUGUUCUGUUGUUUCUUGGUUGUUUAUCUGCCACGUUUUUCUUUUCUCCUUCUCCCCCCUCUCUCUUUCUCGUUUCCCGGUGUGCCCGUCCUCCCUUUUCUGCCUUCUCUUUUUUGUUGCUGUUGAUGCCGUUGUCUUCUUGGUAGGACUUUGUGCAGCAUACAAUGUCGGCGACGUGCCGUGUGUGUGGGUGUGCUGUGUUUCGUUCUCCUCUUUUAGGACUGCUGUAUUCUCAACCUGCUGUCCCUCCUCACCUCACCUCACCUCACCUCACCUCCUCCCUCCUCCUUCACCGACUUUCUUUUUUCCUCUUUUCUCCAUGGCGGUUAGUCCCCUUCUCUUCAGACGCAUGCAAGAGGCUUUUCGUCUUCUCUGUUCUCUGCGGGCGUCUGGCUAAUCGACUGGUGCUCUCACACCUUGUUUCCUUGCUUUUUGCUCGCGUGCUCUUAAGCCAUUGCCACAUCCAACGUUCCUCGCUCUCCGACCUCGAUUGUUGUGGUGCUCCCGACCUUGCCUGUGCUUGGUAUGAGGGCGACUGACCUGGCGUUGUGCCCGGCGUGCUGCCCGACAGUUGCCGAGCGCCCUGUGCUAGAAGCACACGUCAUCUAACGCCACGGUCGUGCACGCAGUGACCUGCUUACGCACGUCCCACCCGAGCUGCAGGGGCUUCCCCGUCGGGUGUCUAUGGAUGCCCCUCUGUGUCUCCCUCAGCACGACAAGCUGCGAGCUCUCUGUGCGCACGCGCAUGCCUAUCCGCGGGUCCCUUUCUGCUUGACACACACCCACUCCUAAUGAGAG
rnacentral:misc_RNA from 1 species